GAACACAAAGGGCAGCGAUUAGAUGAUGGUGAUUUCAAUGCUGAGAGAAGAUUAGCAAACCAGCUCUUCACGGAAAGGAGGAGGGUUAUGAGAAGAUGAAAGCAACCGGUUCAGGAUUCAUUCCCUGUGCAUGGAUUACUGACUGCUAAAGCUUUGUUUUCUGCAACAAAAAGAUAAACUCCCAGGGCCAAGUCACCCCAAUGUCAAAAAGUUUUGGCAUGAUGUUAUGGAUUUGUAGCUAGCAUAGUCUUCUUUGAAGCAAUCAAAUAAGAACCACCAAGCAUCAUCUUUCUUGCAGAGAGAGUGUUGGCAGUACCAUGAACAAGAUCUGGUUUGCUUAAGAGUACCACCUAUAUACAUUAAGUUAUCUUUGAAGGAUGGCCACUAGCAUGAACCACUUUGUUAGAUGGAGAUGGUCUUGGGGGAACUAUGCUCGCUCUUAGUUUGAUGCCUAAACUAAGUUAUCUUUGGGAAAGUGGAAAAGGUUAAUGGAAUCCCACUAUAAUGAUGCUGAUGAUGAUCCUAUUAAAAAUUCUACUUGGAACAACUAGCCUUUAGCCUUUGGCAAAAGGUCUGAGAAAAGGGUGCCUAUUUUUAUUCCAGGGAAUGAAUGCAUCACUCAUCAUGCACAGGUGCUCUGGUUUUUGCUGCAAGUAAAAAGUUUUGGUGGGGAAGAUGCAACAUGAUUUCUGUCUCUGCAUUUAUCUUUUGCAAAGCUGUUUAUGAACAUAGCAGUUGGUGAUCUGGUUUCAUGAUUAAUUGGUGGCCUGGUAAUCAUUAGUCUCAAAGAACUUUGCUGUCAGGAAAUGGCUCGAUGUUACAUUUGAUUGAUCUCCAUCUAAAGCAACUCUUUUCAUUAUUUGCUUGCUCAUGCAUUGUGGUAAACUUGGAUUCACAUGUUGUGUCUGUCUUAGAUUGAUCCAUCCACCAUUUGGUGUAAAGCUUGAAGAAACAUGGCUGUUCAGUUGCCCAACUUGCAUGACAAGGUAAACAAAUUCAUCAUCUCAAUCAAUAUGCAAGUUGACACAUUUCCACACUCCUUUGUACUUGACAUGGCUAUGCCCAAGAUGGUUAAUAUUCCUUUUCUCAGCUAGCCAAUCCAUUGUGGUAUCACUUUCUCCUGUGCCUUGGACAGUCCAGUGCCUUUAGGACAUUGUCCAUCUGACAUGAUGUCUCAUGGAUUCUGUAUCAUGGAAACUGGUUAUGUUGCCUUCCUACAUGUGAUGCAAUUCUACUCAUUCCAAUAUUCAGAGCAUCUGCUUUAUAAAGGUCAUAUCUUUGGUUGGAUGAUCUCUUGCUGUCCCUACUGGUUGAGCUAAAACAAUGUGAGAAUGAUGCAAAGCUAACACUAUGACCAAUCAUGUGAACAAACUGAACAGACUUGGCAUCCACUCAAAGAAAGAAAAGAAUUCUAGAUGAAAACAUCAGCUGUAAGAACAACAAUGUUUGUUCUGCUAUGCCCAAAUUCAGAUCAGUUAAUAUUUUCCAGAUUGACUAGCGGGAAAUCCUUCAGCAACUUGAGCCUGGUGGUGGAAUGACAUCAGAUUGCUGGAAAAGCUGACAGAAAGAUCUCAAGUUUCGCCCCUCUGCCUUUAUUGGAGAUGUCUCAUUCCAUAUCCCUCAUGGUGUACUUCACUAUCUUAGUGGAUGUGGCUAUUCAUGCCUCAAUGAGUGGACCUCAAUAAUGUCAAGUGUGCAUCUCCUUCGCAUCA